CCGUGGGGAUUCGUCUCCAUUGGGAUAGCACCCUUUGCUCACAGGCACCCUUUCGUUUCCUCGGCGGGCUCGCCCGUCGGUGGACCAUUGCAAACCCUCCUGUAGUAGGCAGUACCUUCAGUAAGCAAAGCGAAAUGUCA
rnacentral:misc_RNA from 1 species